rnacentral:tRNA from 1 species
CGGCCUGUAGCUCAGUUGGCAGAGCACGUGACUCUUAAUCUCGGUGUCGCGGGUUCGAACCCCGCCGGGCCGA